CACAAGCUGGAUAAUAACCCAAGUCAAUUUAUUCAGCUUUUACAAAGUGUAGCCUGGAGUAUGGUGUAUGCACUGCAUUUCAGAAAACAUAGAGAAGAAAAAACAAAGGCCAGGGAAGGAGAAUGAGAUGUCAAGACAACCUGUUAAGGAUAAUUUGAAAGAUUUUGGAUAGUUUAAACUAGAAGUGAUUAGACUGAUAGAGAUCAUUAAAUACACAGAAUAGGAAAGGGAAAGAAAAUAGAAGGGAAGGAGAAGGAGAGAGGAGAGGAAGAAGAGAAGAAAUAAAGAGGCUGGCAUCAAAUGUGGAGGCAGGGUUGGAAGUCUCCAUCACUGAAGGUUUCUGAAAUCAGAUUAGAUGAGCAUCAGUGAGGAGCGACAUGGUGAUUGGUAUUUUCAGGCAAGUUGAUAGACAUAUGCUUUCCUGAAGAGCCUUCCUUCUAUCCAAUCUUCAGUGACUAUUACUUGAGCAUUGCCAUUCCUCUGUACUCCAUAAUUAGUGUUAGGGACAUCUUGCCAUGAGAUGCCUGGAUACAAUUUCUAUCCUCUGGCUCCUGAUUAGGUUCUUCAUUGCUUCUUGUUGCCAUGUGGACCAUGUGUCACAGAAAUGUGACAGCUGAACCUAAUUCUUAGCUAUAGCUGGAGGAAGUAUCUUCUGACCCUGCCCGAAGCAUAGAUUUUAGCUCUUCAUUCUUUUUAUUGUCUUGACAUUUCUGCAUCAGCUGGGCUGCAGACCCAGGAAUCUAUGGGGAUAGAGCUGGGAUGACUAACCAUUUAUUAGAAGGGAAGGUUUUAUGGCCAUUAACUUUGUUGUGAUACUGUAGGUGUCAUGGCAUUUCUGACUCACUCUGACAGCUACCGUUACACAAUACUCUGACUAAGACACUUCUGUUGUGGAUGUUCUGGGUAACAGCACUAUUAGAACAGAUUGUUUAUGGAUAUAUGGUGACCUGAUUAAAUAAGGAUAGGACUACGAGUAGGACUUGUUAGGGGAUCUUCCUAAGAAAUGACAUUCCUGUGUGUCUCAGUGAAAGCACAGUGGAAGAGAGGAGGAGGAGUGACAGUCACCAGUGUGCACUGAGAGGGUAAGGAGGCUCUUCUUUCACACAGAAACACCGAUGGCAGUGCUCUUUAGCUUAGGCUAAAACCUUCUGAAACCUUUGGUGGAAAUGGGCUAAAUAAGGAAAUCUUGCCCAUCUGCAGAAAUGAAUAUGCUCUUCUUCCCUUCACCCUGGCAAUAAAGGGACUGGAAGAUGUGUGCAAAGGGAGAGGCCUCCCAGCGGCUGUCUACAGGGCAGAAACCAGAAAGAACUGCAGAUGGCUAGCAGUAGAACUUCUUCAGGUAAAAGGCUCUGCAAUCCUGCCUAAGAUGGGGUGAAAGGAAGUGAAAGUCCUUCGAAUACAAUAGUGAAAGUUAUUAAGGUGGCAAUCUCAUGGCUCAGUAUUACUGUAUCCUCUAGCUAGAUUGAAAGAUAAAUUUAUUUCAUUAACUGGUUGAGAAUGUUUCUUUGCUGUCAGCUUUUCCCACGCCUGCUUAUUUGUAGAGUCAAGGUACUUUGAUGAGAAUGCAGCAAGAAUACUACCUAAAGGGAAGUUAUCUGCAAAACAGUAUUUUGGGGGUUACACAGUCAUGCUUUCUACCUGGCAGUGAAUUUUACAAAAUAACUAUUGUAGAGUGAGCAUUUUGACACACGUGGCAAAGUGGAUAUGGGUUGUAACAAGUUUCUGAAAUUGCAGGGUGUGACAGCUUGCCUACAAUUAAAGAAACAGUUAUACUUCUUACAGAGCAGUCUGCUACACCCUGCACACCUGCUCACCAUACCAAAACUAAGGUAUGUGUGACACUUAUAGGUGCUGACUCUUACAGAAACCUCAGCAACAAGACCUAGAAUGCUUUUCAGGGCUGAGCACUGAGCAGGCAGAAAAACAGACCCCUGCUGCUGUCUGGCUAAUACCUUCAGCCUUUGUGCAGUUUACAUUUUUGUUGCAAUUACUGGAAUUGCCACACCAAACAAAUGACAAGUGUAAUUUGUAUCUUUCCAGAUGAACUAUAUAGUACACCCAGAAAUGUCUCAGAGUAAAAAGUAAAGAGUUGGAUAGAAGAUGGUGAGAGUGACCUGUCUUGGUCACAGUGCAAACCAUGCCUUCCUUGCUGUGCUCUGUUUAAAACAUACAUUACCAUUAUAGUAGUUUCUUGUCUAGUACAAUGAGCAAAAGUAAAAAAUCUGUAACCAAACUUCUGCUGCUUGUCCCUACUUUUGUUGCCUUAAGAGAGAUGAAUGAGCUAAUAGGACUCCUCACAAAAUGCAGCUAUUCAGUUACUAAAGUUAGCUUGGGAUAUUUCCCCAUCUGACAUCUGUUUCUGGUGAAUGAUAUAAGAAGUUCAUCCUUAAAAAUGUCUUUGCUUUUUGCAUGCAGUCUCACUGCUGCAGAAUGUAACUUGUGGUUUGCUGGAGAAGCCCUAGGUUUAGUCUCUGGGGCUGGAUAUCUGUAUCAGUGUCAUUAUGAAAAGUGAUCAACUGUGUCUUUGGCUUGUAAAACAUCUGGGUUAUGUAUUAGAAAAAGAAAUACAGGAAAUGCCUGCUUGAGCACAAUGCUGUUUUAAUUAUAGCAAUGGUUUUAAAUAAAACUGUCUGAUAAGUGGCUGUACAUACAGACACUUAUAUGUAUACUGACACGUAGUCCUAGACAUAUGCAUGCAGGCAGGCUGAAUUCCCAUCUCACAUGCCCUAGCUCAGCUGCAGCAUGGACGCAGCAGUGUUUGCUCUGUAGCCCCAGAGCUGGCCUGAUCACACUGCAAAGCCCACAGGUCCCGGGGUGGUAGAGAGGCAGUGCUAGCUCCUCAUAAAUAGUGUGAUACCUACUCCGGCACCACAGUCCCACAUCCCUCACCGAUUUCCUUCCUCCCCCAUCAGAAGAUCUCAUGCAGGCUCUUAGCAGACAUGUAAAUGUAGGCCGUUUGCACAUUGCUCACAUUGAAACAUAAGAUGCUGAAGUGAAACUGAAGGUAGCCAGGCUCUUUUCUGUGGCACUAUGACCAAGGGAGGUUAUUCAUCAGAGGAAGGUCCUAAAUUAGUCUAUCUAAGACCAUUGAUGUGGGCAAAACCACAUAAUUUCAGGCAGUAAACCUCAUUUGCUUUAUUUGCUGUUCCAUCACAAGAAAACUGGAUAAAUCUUAAUGUAAGUCUUCUACUUACAACUCAUGGUAGAGGCUGAGCAAGCUCCUCAUUAGUCUAUCUUUAACAAAAAUAAUAAAAAUUAGAGAAAACCUAAAAUUUCAGUAAGAUCUCCUUAUCAGUGUCCAGCCACUACUGGCAGUUUGUGUCUCUCUUCCUUGGCACCUAAGCACUCACAAAUCUCAAAGAAGACAUAGUUAAUACUUUUGUGGAGUUUUCUGUAUAUUCUUAAGAGAGACAUAAAACUCAUUCAUCCAUGGGCAUUGCUUUUACAGACUUCAUUUUGCCCCCAGUCUCAACAGCUGUGCCCAGUAGAGAUGUGGCUUCUCCUCAAUGCUGCAUGUUGCUCCAUCUCAUUUCAGCUGAUGCUUGAUGCCAGUCCAGAAGGAGGAGAGCUGGGUUUGCAGUACGAUGCAUUAUGUACAGCUGUGAAGUUUUAUUGACACGCAUGCGGUGCAGUUAUUCCAGUUAUGCCAGCUGAAGGGAUGUUUCAACUUAACAAAUUUAUUGUGUUUUAUGGUUCCUGGAAAAACCUGUCAGAUGUGAAUUGUACCAUAUUACAAAAACACAAGCUUGCUGCGAACAAGAACACAUCAUCUUUUAUUCAGAUUUGCAACAAUAUGGAUGAGCAACAACAACAACAACAAAAA